GACAUAGCAUAAAGUUUUAAGAAUUCAUUAAAUACAAAUAUAAUGAAACAAGCAAUAACCUUGUAUAUAUAUAUAUAAAACCGUUUUGAAUUGUUCAGGCAGAGGACCUUGAUACGGAGGAGAAUGCACAAAUCAAUUAUUUCUUAACGGAUAAUGGGGGUUCGUUGUUCCAUAUUGACAAUCACACGGGAGACAUCUACGUGGACAGUCCAGGUUCGUUGGCGGAUAUUACAAAGUUGUACUUUACGGCAAUGGACAUGGGUACCCCAUCACUUCGAUCAACAGCGCUUGCAUACGUCGUACAUGGAGACGAUGGCUGGGUUUCAAUCGAAACGCCGUUAACUGUCGGACAACUUACAAAUCAAG